UGCUAAGAUGAUGACAAAGACCCUAUUGCCGAAAUGUGUAUAAAACCUGCUUUGUCCACAAAGCUGAGUUACACUUGACAGUCGACGGGCGAAAUACCAGCUAUGAUGAAGAGGACUCUGAUCUCCUUGAUUUUCGUAUUGGUAUCGCUGAGUUUGAUUUUAGAAGCUGCAAAGGGCUACACGAUGGGGGGUAUCCACGGCAAAAGGACUACACUUGUCAGACAGAGCAGGUUUUGCGCGUUGGCGAAGAUUCGCUGCGCACAGGGAUUGAACGGCUUUGGUGAUGGUGACGGGGAAGGCAUACGUUCCCAAGAAGCCUCGGAAUCAUGGCCCCACGAGCGUGCAGAAAGACAAGCGAGCGGAGCCAGUGGAAGAAGAUGAUGAGAAUGAGAGGAAAUGAACGUGCUUUCAUAAUGUUUGAAUAUAAGCUAAUUUGUAUAUGAAAGUAUAUAUGACCUGUUUUAUGGAAUUAUCUUUAAACUCAACCUUUUUGAAAUCAGAUAAGAAUCAUUAUGUAAUAUAUAUUACAGGAUAUGCACUACUAUACCAUCUCAAACAAACCUUAAAUAUUACGUAUAACCUAGAGCCCUAUCAAUUAAAUGUACAAACAAGAAAUGCAAUAAAAACAUGGCCAACGGUC